GGGGAAUAUUGGGCAAUGGACGCAAGUCUGACCCAGCAACGCCGCGUGAAGGAAGAAGGCUUUCGGGUUGUAAACUUCUUUUAAGGGGGAAGAGUAGAAGACGGUACCCCUUGAAUAAGCCACGGCUAACUACGUGCCAGCAGCCGCGGUAAUACGUAGGUGGCAAGCGUUGUCCGGAUUUACUGGGUGUAAAGGGCGUGUAGCCGGGAAGGCAAGUCAGAUGUGAAAUCUGGAGGCUCAACCUCCAAACUGCAUUUGAAACUGCUUUUCUUGAGUGUCGGAGAGGUAAUCGGAAUUCCUUGUGUAGCGGUGAAAUGCGUAGAUAUCAGGAGGAACACCGAUGGCGAAGGCAGGUCACUGGGCCGCAACUGACGCUGAGGAGCGAAAGCAUGGGGAGCGAACA
rnacentral:rRNA from 1 species